rnacentral:rRNA from 1 species
AACGAACGCUGGCGGCAGGCUUAACACAUGCAAGUCGAACGCCCCGCAAGGGGAGUGGCAGACGGGUGAGUAACGCGUGGGAAUCUACCGUACCCUACGGAAUAACGCAUGGAAACGUGUGCUAAUACCGUAUACGCCCUACGGGGGAAAGAUUUAUCGGGGUAUGAUGAGCCCGCGUUGGAUUAGCUAGUUGGUGGGGUAAAGGCCUACCAAGGCGACGAUCCAUAGCUGGUCUGAGAGGAUGAUCAGCCACAUUGGGACUGAGACACGGCCCAAACUCCUACGGGAGGCAGCAGUGGGGAAUAUUGGACAAUGGGCGCAAGCCUGAUCCAGCCAUGCCGCGUGAGUGAUGAAGGUCUUAGGAUUGUAAAGCUCUUUCACCGGUGAAGAUAAUGACGGUAACCGGAGAAGAAGCCCCGGCUAACUUCGUGCCAGCCGCCGCCGUAAUAC